UACGUAGGUGGCGAGCGUUGUCCGGAGUUACUGGGCGUAAAGGGUGCGUAGGCGGUUGUUUAAGUUUGGUGUGAAAUCUCCCGGCUCAACUGGGAGGGUGCGCCGAAUACUGAAUGACUAGAGUGCGGGAGAGGAGAGUGGAAUUCCUGGUGUAGCGGUGAAAUGCGUAGAUAUCAGGAGGAACACCGGUGGUGUAGACGGCUCUCUGGACCGUAACUGACGCUGAGGCACGAAAGCGUGGGUAGCAAACAGG
rnacentral:rRNA from 1 species